rnacentral:rRNA from 1 species
GACGAACGCUGGCGGCGUGCCUAAUACAUGCAAGUAGAACGCUGAAGGAGGAGCUUGCUUCUCCGGAUGAGUUGCGAACGGGUGAGUAACGCGUAGGUAACCUGCCUGGUAGCGGGGGAUAACUAUUGGAAACGAUAGCUAAUACCGCAUAAGAGUAGAUGUUGCAUGACAUUUGCUUAAAAGGUGCAAUUGCAUCACUACCAGAUGGACCUGCGUUGUAUUAGCUAGUUGGUGGGGUAACGGCUUACCAAGGCGACGAUACAUAGCCGACCUGAGAGGGUGAUCGGCCACACUGGGACUGAGACACGGCCCAGACUCCUACGGGAGGCAGCAGUAGGGAAUCUUCGGCAAUGGACGGAAGUCUGACCGAGCAACGCCGCGUGAGUGAAGAAGGUUUUCGGAUCGUAAAGCUCUGUUGUAAGAGAAGAACGAGUGUGAGAGUGGAAAGUUCACACUGUGACGGUAUCUUACCAGAAAGGGACGGCUAACUACGU